GAAGUUUUGGAAUACCCAUUAAAGGAGGCAAAUUCACCCAUUUUUUGAAAUUAUACUGAGAUGUCAUAAAAUGGGUAUUUUUUUCAUACUAAAAAAAGAGUAUUUUUUCCCCAUCAACAAGUAUCUGUUUCAAAAGGUUAGAUGGGUAAAUUAGACGCUUUACGAAUAUUUGACGAGUGCAGUCGCCACUUUUCUAUUUUUAUUUUUAAAGUUGAGAAUUUAAUUCUGUUUGAAUGACGAGUCGAGAAAAACUGGUCAUUACGAUAAAAAAGAUUCUAAAGUAUGAGUGAAAAAGUUUCCGCUAAAUAAUGGCCUACAGCCGUAGCCUAGAGUCACUGACCAUCACCCCUACGUUACAAACGGGAUGACGAGCGAAAAAAAAGCAUCGUGGUUUGAAUUCCGUUUAUUCCCGAUCCGACAGUAACAAUCGAGGCAGCAAUGAAAGUGAAUCGAGUACCGCAGUGCAUACAAAAAUUAAUUCCGGAUCCGAGACCACAUCAGAAUGGCCAGUCUCAUCGUCGAAGGAUGGUCACAGCAGGGGCAUCAUCCAGGUGGCCUAACAACAUGUACCAGUAGAAACAGUUAAAGGUGGUCUGAAUCGAAGCCUCCGAACCGGAUUGGUUUGAGAAAAGCAACAAGGAGGUUGAGCACUUGAAUACAUAGAAUAUAAGUUAUCCAUUUGUUGAUUUUCGAAAUUAAGAUAUAAAUAAAAAAUGAACAUUUUCAUGCGUUUUAAAAUUA